rnacentral:rRNA from 1 species
GAUGAACGCUGGCGGCGUGCCUAAUACAUGCAAGUCGAGCGAACGGACGAGAAGCUUGCUUUUCUGAUGUUAGCGGCGGACGGGUGAGUAACACGUGGAUAACCUACCUAUAAGACUGGGAUAACUUCGGGAAACCGGCGCUAAUACCGGAUAAUAUUUUGAACCGCAUGGUUCAAAAGUGAAAGACGGUCUUGCUGUCACUUAUAGAUGGAUCCGCGCUGCAUUAGCUAGUUGGUAAGGUAACGGCUUACCAAGGCAACGAUGCAUAGCCGACCUGAGAGGGGGAUCGGCCACACUGGAACUGAGACACGGUCCAGACUCCUACGGGAGGCAGCAGUAGGGAAUCUUCCGCAAUGGGCGAAAGCCUGACGGAGCAACGCCGCGUGAGUGAUGAAGGUCUUCGGAUCGUAAAACUCUGUUAUUAGGGAAGAACAUAUGUGUAAGUAACUGUGCACAUCUUGACGGUACCUAAUCAGAAAGCCACGGCUAACUACGUG